rnacentral:rRNA from 1 species
CCCUUAGAUGUUCUGGGCCGCACGCGUGCUACACUGAGUAAUUCAAUGGGUAAGGGAACGCUAGAGCAUUAACUAAUCUUGAAAUUUGCUCGUGAUGGGGAUCGACGGUUGCAAUUUUCCGUCGUGAACGAGGAAUACCUUGUAGGCGCAUGUCAUCAUCAUGCGCCGAAUACGUCCCUGCCCUUUGUACACACCGCCCGUCGCUCCUACCGAUUGAGUGAUCCGGUGAGGCUCUGGGACCUGGACGGAAAGAGCGUUUCGCUUGUUCUGUUUGGGAAACUUGGUCGAACCUUAUCAUUUAGAGGAAGGAGAAGUCGUAACA